rnacentral:rRNA from 1 species
UACAGAGGGUGCGAGCGUUGUCCGGAAUCACUGGGCGUAAAGGGCGCGUAGGCGGCCUGAUAAGUAGGGGGUGAAAUCCUGUGGCUUAACUGCAGGGCUGCCUCCUAGACUGUUAGGCUCGAGCACGGUAGAGGCAGAUGGAAUUCCCGGUGUAGCGGUGGAAUGCGUAGAGAUCGGGAAGAACAUCGGUGGCGAAGGCGGCCUGCUGGGCAGUAGCUGACACUGAGGCGCGACAGCGUGGGGAGCAAACAGG